rnacentral:lncRNA from 1 species
UGAUCCUUACGAAUAUGAUGCUCAAGAAGCAAGAGUUCGGGCUCGACGACAUCUACAAGGAAAAAUUCCCAAACGAGUCAAGCUAGUGAUCCUUUAGGGGGUUGUUGAGUUGUUGAUUAGAGUUGUAAAUAUUAGUAAUAUAGGGAUUUUAAAAAAAAAAUGGAUAUAGGGAUUAGUUAUGAAGAAAUCAAUAUGUUAUUUUAUUCAGAUAUUAGUUCUGCAUAGG